UACGGAGGAUGCGAGCGUUAUCCGGAUUUAUUGGGUUUAAAGGGAGCGCAGACGGGAUGUUAAGUCAGCUGUGAAAGUUUGGGGCUCAACCUUAAAAUUGCAGUUGAUACUGGCAUUCUUGAGUGCGGUUGAGGCAGGCGGAAUUCGUGGUGUAGCGGUGAAAUGCUUAGAUAUCACGAAGAACUCCUAUUGCGAAGGCAGCCUGCUAAGCCGUAACUGACGUUCAUGCUCGAAAGUGUGGGUAUCAAACAGG
rnacentral:rRNA from 1 species